UACGUAGGGGGCUAGCGUUGUCCGGAAUCAUUGGGCGUAAAGAGCGUGUAGGCGGCCCGGUAAGUCCGCUGUAAAAGUCAAAGGCUCAACCUUUGAAUGUCAGUGGAUACUGCCGGACUAGAGUUCGGAAGAGGCGAGUGGAAUUCCCGGUGUAGCGGUGAAAUGCGCAGAUAUCGGGAGGAACACCAAUGGCGAAGGCAGCUCGCUGGGACGUUACUGACGCUGAGACGCGAAAGCGUGGGGAGCAAACAGG
rnacentral:rRNA from 1 species